rnacentral:rRNA from 1 species
GGAUUCCCCUAGUAACUGCGAGUGAAGCGGUGAACAGCUCAUAUUUAGAUAGUCUGUCGGCUCUGGCCGUACGAGUUGUAGUCUGGAGAAGUGCUUUCUGUGCUGGACCGUGUACAAGUCUCUUGGAACAGAGCGUCGUAGAGGGUGAGAAUCCCGUCUUUGACACGGACUACCAGUGCUUUGUGAUGCGCUCUCAAAGAGUCGAGUUGUUUGGGAAUGCAGCUCAAAAUGGGUGGUAAAUUCCAUCUAAAGCUAAAUAUUGGCGAGAGACCGAUAGCGAACAAGUACCGUGAGGGAAAGAUGAAAAGCACUUUGGAAAGAGAGUUAAACAGUACGUGAAAUUGCUGAAAGGGAAACGCUUGAAGUCAGUCGCGUCGAUUGGAACUCAACCUUGCUUUGGCUUGGUGCAUUUUCUGGUUAACGGGCCAGCAUCGAUUUUGACUGCCGGAAAAAGGUUGGGGGAAUGUGGCACCUUCGGGUGUGUUAUAGCCCUCAGUCACAUACGGUGGUUGGGAUCAAGGACCGCAGCACGCCUUUAUGGCCGGGGUUCGCCCACGUUCGUGCUUAGGAUGCUGGCGUAAUGGCUUUAAACGACCCGUCUUGAAACACGGUCCAAGGAGUCUAACAUGCCUGCGAGUGUUUGGGUGGAAAACCCGAGCGCGCAAUGAAAGUGAAAGUUGAGAUCCCUGUCAUGGGGAGCAUCGACGCCCGGACUUGAGCUCUGGCGAAGGUUCCGCGGUAGAGCAUGUAUGUUGGGACCCGAAAGAUGGUGACCUAUGCUCUAAAUAGGGUGAACCCACAGGAAGCUCUGUUGCAGGCUCGUAGCGAUUCUGACGUGCAAAUCGAUCGUCAAAUUUGGGUAUA